AUGUACUUAACUCCAAGAGCCGCGAAUGACAAGCCUUGGUUGCUGCCACUUGCUGCCUUUCGUCUGGAUCCAGUGUUUCCAGUCAGCCAGCUUGAAUUAAUUUACCAUUGGAAACAAGGAGGCCCCAUUCCUACAGCACAUGAGCAAGUGAACAUGGGAAAUGGAUUAGAAUUCUUCAAGAAGAUCUAAGAUGGUACUUUACAUGGCUUCAAAGAACCUAUGAAGUAACUUAAGAAUUUCUCUGUUGCUCUAGAUAGAAAUUUUGAUGUGAUAACACUGUUCUUCAAAAACUAACUUCAGACCCAUACACCGUGGGGAGUAUAGGGAAGAUUUGGAAUCCAAACCUUUAGUUUUCAAUACAGUCAGUUAGUAAACUGUCCCCAUUAUUUCUUUGCAUCUAAUCCUUCUGUUCUCUUGCUAUCUUUUUUGGCAUUCUCUAGGCAUCUCUUUUCACUUAGAAUCCACAAUCUAGAACACUCUUUUUGUAAAUUAUUCUCAAACUUAUUUCUGAAGGAAGAAUUAAAAUCUGUUCUUUAACUAACUGCCUUCUGCUUAGGCUGCCUGUCCAGCAGGUGAGAAAAUUUUCUCCCAAACCUGAAGAGUGAUGGAAUCAGAAGACUACAAGCUGUCCUGGAAAGUAGGAAUUCAGCCCCUUUUUACCCCUGUGGAAGCUGCACCAGCCUGCAGGUUGGAAAAAAAUCGUUGAUCAGUAAACCCAAGAGAGAUCAUCAGGAGGUAUGUGACAGUUUACUAACUUAGUGGUUGUCAUCUGCCUGGAAUGGAGAAUAGCUGUCUCUGAUUCCUAUAUCCCAAACUAUGUCAGCAUCUUAGUUUAAACAGUAGCUGAAGUAAUAUAUUUAGUGUUGAGAGCAGGAAUUGAAAACUAGAACUUUCAGUACUGCUGGUUCUGGAUGACAAUUCACCACUGUGUUUGCAAUACUUGUUUUUUCUCAGACUGUAUACAUCUAACAUUCACUGUUGUAAAGACACUGUGUCAAAAGCAGAAACAAUAUAACAAUAUCCUCCCUCAGCCUGAUUCUUGCACAACAUUAUCUAUGGUCUGACCACAGGCACCAAAUCAAACUUUCAGUGCUUUAGAUUCAGGGAAAACUUAUUUGUGAAUCCCAAAUCAUAUGUGGAAUAAUCAAAAAGGUGUGUAGCAAAGUAUAUCAAUGUUUUUGGCAGUGCA
rnacentral:lncRNA from 1 species